AUUGAACGCUGGCGGCAGGCCUAACACAUGCAAGUCGAGCGGAUGAAGGGAGCUUGCUCCUGGCUUCAGCGGCGGACGGGUGAGUAAUGCCUAGGAAUCUGCCUGGUAGUGGGGGAUAACGUCCGGAAACGGGCCCUAAUACCGCAUACGUCAUGAGGGAGAAAGUGGGGGAUCUUCGGACCUCACGCUAUCAGAUGAGCCUAGGUCGGAUUAGCUAGUUGGUGUGGUAAAGGCCUACCAAGGCGACGAUCCGUAACUGGUCUGAGAGGAUGAUCAGUCACACUGGAACUGAGACACGGUCCAGACUCCUACGGGAGGCAGCAGUUGGGAAUAUUGGACAAUUGGCGAAAGCCUGAUCCAGCCAUGCCGCGUGUGUGAAGAAGGUCUUCGGAUUGUAAAGCACUUUAAGUUGGGAGGAAGAGAAGUAAGUUAAUACCUGCCUGUUUUGACGUUACCAACAGAAUAAGCACCGGCUAACUUCGUG
rnacentral:rRNA from 1 species